rnacentral:tRNA from 1 species
UAGCUCAGUUUGGUAAAGAAUCUGCCUGCAAUGCAGGAGACCCAGGUUUGAUUCCUGG